CCUACGGGAGACAGCAGUGGGGAAUAUUGCACAAUGGGGGGAACCCUGAUGCAGUGACGCCGCGUGGGUGAAGGAGCACCUCGGUGCGUAAAGCCCUAUCGGCAGGGAAGAAAAGCGAACAGGUUCGCCUGGACGGUACCUGACUAAGAAGCCCCGGCUAACUACGUGCCAGCAGCCGCGGUAAUACGUAGGGGGCAAGCGUUAUCCGGAUUCACUGGGUGUAAAGGGAGCGUAGACGGCGGCGCAAGUCUGGAGUGAAAGCCCGGGGCCCAACCCCGGGACUGCUCGGGAAACUGCGGCGCUGGAGUACGGGAGGGGCAGGCGGAAGUCCUGGUGUAGCGGUGAAAUGCGUAGAUAUCAGGAGGAACACCGGCGGCGAAGGCGGCCUGCUGGACCGUGACUGACGUUGAGGCUCGAGAGCGUGGGGAGCAAACAGGAUUAGAUACCCGAGUAGUC
rnacentral:rRNA from 1 species